AGAGUUUGAUCCUGGCUCAGGACGAACGCUGGCGGCACGCUUAACACAUGCAAGUCGAACGAGAGAAGAGGAGCUUGCUUUUCUGAUCUAGUGGCGGACGGGUGAGUAACACGUGAGCAAUCUGCCUUUCAGAGGGGGAUACCGAUUGGAAACGAUCGUUAAUACCGCAUAACAUAAUUGAACCGCAUGAUUUGAUUAUCAAAGAUUUAUCGCUGAAAGAUGAGCUCGCGUCUGAUUAGCUAGUUGGUAAGGUAACGGCUUACCAAGGCGACGAUCAGUAGCCGGACUGAGAGGUUGAUCGGCCACAUUGGGACUGAGACACGGCCCAGACUCCUACGGGAGGCAGCAGUGGGGAAUAUUGCACAAUGGAGGAAACUCUGAUGCAGCGAUGCCGCGUGAGGGAAGAAGGUUUUAGGAUUGUAAACCUCUGUCUUCAGGGACGAAAAAAGACGGUACCUGAGGAGGAAGCUCCGGCUAACUACGUGCCAGCAGCCGCGGUAAUACGUAGGGAGCGAGCGUUGUCCGGAAUUACUGGGUGUAAAGGGAGCGUAGGCGGGAUCGCAAGUCAGAUGUGAAAACUAUGGGCUUAACCCAUAAACUGCAUUUGAAACUGUGGUUCUUGAGUGAAGUAGAGGUAAGCGGAAUUCCUAGUGUAGCGGUGAAAUGCGUAGAUAUUAGGAGGAACAUCAGUGGCGAAGGCGGCUUACUGGGCUUUAACUGACGCUGAGGCUCGAAAGCGUGGGGAGCAAACAGGAUUAGAUACCCUGGUAGUCCACGCCGUAAACGAUGAUUACUAGGUGUGGGGGGACUGACCCCUUCCGUGCCGCAGCAAACGCAGUAAGUAAUCCACCUGGGGAGUACGACCGCAAGGUUGAAACUCAAAGGAAUUGACGGGGGCCCGCACAAGCAGUGGAGUAUGUGGAUUAAUUCGAAGCAACGCGAAGAACCUUACCAGGUCUUGACAUCGUAUGCAUAGCUCAGAGAUGAGUGAAAUCUCUUCGGAGACAUAUAGACAGGUGGUGCAUGGUUGUCGUCAGCUCGUGUCGUGAGAUGUUGGGUUAAGUCCCGCAACGAGCGCAACCCUUACUGUUAGUUGCUACGCAAGAGCACUCUAGCAGGACUGCCGUUGACAAAACGGAGGAAGGUGGGGAUGACGUCAAAUCAUCAUGCCCCUUAUGACCUGGGCCUCACACGUACUACAAUGGCUGUCAACAGAGGGAAGCAAAGCCGCGAGGUGGAGCGAACCCCUAAAAGCAGUCUUAGUUCGGAUUGUAGGCUGCAACCCGCCUACAUGAAGUCGGAAUUGCUAGUAAUCGCAGAUCAGCAUGCUGCGGUGAAUACGUUCCCGGGCCUUGUACACACCGCCCGUCACGCCAUGGGAGUCGGUAACACCCGAAGCCUGUAGUCUAACCGCAAGGAGGACGCAGUCGAAGGUGGGAUUGAUGACUGGGGUGAAGUCGUAACAAGGUA
rnacentral:rRNA from 1 species